rnacentral:tRNA from 1 species
UAUGUAGUGCCUGAAUCGUAAGGAUAAUUUUGAUAGAGUUAAAAAUGUGUGUAUACACCUUCAUAA